CCUACGGGUGGCUGCAGUGGGGAAUAUUGGACAAUGGGCGCAAGCCUGAUCCAGCAAUGCCGCGUGGGUGAAGACGGCCUGCGGGUUGUAAAGCCCUUUAGGUGGGGAAGAACGAUGCCGGGUGAAUAGCCGGGUGUUAUGACAUUACCCACGGAAUAAGCACCGGCUAACUCCGUGCCAGCAGCCGCGGUAAUACGGAGGGUGCGAGCGUUAAUCGGAAUGACUGGGCGUAAAGCGUGCGUAGGUGGUGGUGUUAGUCAGCCGUGAAAGCCCUGGGCUUAACCUGGGAAUGGCGGUUGAAACGGCGCGACUUGAGUGGGUUAGAGGACUGUGGAACUCCUGGUGUAGCGGUGAAAUGCGUAGAGAUCAGGAAGAACACCGAUGGCGAAGGCAGCGGUCUGGGACCACACUGACACUGAGGCACGAAAGCGUGGGGAGCAAACAGGAUUAGAUACCCCUGUAGUC
rnacentral:rRNA from 1 species